GUCUAAACCAUGACCCAUAUUCUUAUGAGUGAUUUAGUUCAGUAGACAUUCAGCUAGUUGUUCCACAUGUACCAAUCACCGCAAUGAAAGUCUACACUCUGUGUUUUGUUAUUGUCUUCUUGGCUGUUUGCGUAGUCUUCACACAAGGGAAGCCCUACGAGACCUUCCUAAAACGUCAGAUGUGUACAAACGAUUGUAUAAGUCCAUGCCUCGCCAUGCUGUGUGCUCCAGCCACACGUUGUGAAACUGAUUGCACAACAUGCACAGGAUACUGUAGACUUAUUAUCAAUUCAUGAUACCACUGCAAUAUAGCGGUCAGUUCCUGAGAUAUUGUAUGGAAAUGGUUUACCAAAUAAAUUAAGCUCACUUUUUAGCCUGUACAGCAAUAAAAUACGCUCACAAAGAA